rnacentral:lncRNA from 1 species
CAAGUAUUAUUAUUGUCUUACUUUAUAGGGUUUCAUCCUGUUAUAAUUUAAGUUCAUUUUUCCUCCAUUUAAAAAAAUAAAUAGUCAGAUGUCACUAUAGGUCUGUAGUAACUACAGCUCUCAGGGAGGUUUGAAAGUUUGAAGCCAGCCUCAGCAACUUAGUGAGGUCCUGUCUCAAAAUAAAAUAAAAAGGGCUGGGGACAUAUCUCAGUGGAAGAGCACCUUUCUAGCACGCACAAGGCCCUGGGUUCAAUUGCCAGUACCAAAAAAUGAAAUAAAAUAUAAUAAACAAUAAUCAUUGAACAGCAUAUAGUUCCCUGAACUAUUCAGAAAAAGAAUAUAAACGAAGAACAAAGAAAUAACUGGGAAAGGAACUAAGGUACAGAGACCUUGGAAACCUGCCUCCCAAGCCUAUGCUCUUGGCUACUCCACGUUCUCAAUCUUUCUCCUGUCUCCUUUUAUCUGUCCAUCAUCCAUCCAUCCAUCCAUACAUACAUACAUACAUUUUAGUCAGCUAUUUUGCCACUGUGACCAAAAGACCCAACCAGAACAAUUGUAGAGGAGGAAAAGUUUAUUUAAGGGCUCACAGUUUCAGAAGUCUCAAUCUAUAGACAGUGGAGUCCAUUCCUCUAGGUUCAAGGUGAGGCUGAACAUCAUGGCAGAACAAUGUGGAAGAGGGAAGCAGCUCACAUCAUGAUAAUCAGAAAGCGGAGAGAGCAUCCACUCGCCAGAUACAAAUAUAUACCCAAAGCCACACCCCAAUUCCCACCUCCUCCAGCCACACCCUACCCACUUCAGUUACCACUCAGUUAAUUCC